AGCGGGCUCAAAUGCAGUGGUGUUUACAACUAAUUGAUCACAACCAGUUACAGAUUUCUUGGUUUCUUCUCCACUCUCACCUCUUCACUUGACUAACAAAAA
rnacentral:Y_RNA from 1 species